CCUAUUUAUAUAGAUUGUUUUACUAAAAAGAGGGACUACUGGAGCUCUAGUACUUCUACAGCACUGUGGGCACGAGGGGUUCAGAGCUGUCACAGCCUUCAUUUUCCUUUCCUUGUGCCUCCCUGUGCACAGGCGUUCCUGCCCUAAGCAGCUCAGACAGAAAUAUAAUUUGGACUGAUUCUUUCCUCGCACUGCAACAGCUGAGUGCUCUGGCUGGAUGGCCACACAGCAUUAACUACACUGGCACCAAUUGCCACUGCAUGUAAGAAGAGCCAGAACAGGGAGCAUAUUGUCAAGUUCAAGCAUUCAGAAAUGGAAACAACCUUUUCCCUACAUCCAGAGGAGUGGAAUCCGACCCCGCUGCUGAUGCCUGGUGAUAGAGGGUGCAUCAGAGAGGGGGAGGAAAUGGAAGAACCAGAGGAGAGAAGAGGUAGCC